CCAAUGUCUUUCUUUGACUCUACUCCAGCAGGACGGAUCUUGAACCGUGUAUCCAUAGAUCAAAGUGUUGUGGAUCUUGAUAUCCCUUUUAGGCUUGGUGGGUUUGCUUCAACAACAAUACAACUUCUUGGAAUUGUCGGUGUAAUGACCAAAGUUACUUGGCAAGUGUUGCUUCUUGUUGUUCCUAUGGCUAUUACUUGCUUAUGGAUGCAGAAAUACUACAUGGCUUCAUCAAGGGAACUGGUCCGCAUUGUUAGUAUCCAGAAAUCUCCUAUCACC
rnacentral:misc_RNA from 1 species